rnacentral:rRNA from 1 species
AGACCCGAAACCCGGUGAUCUAGCCAUGGGCAGGUUGAAGGUUGGGUAACACUAACUGGAGGACCGAACCGACUAAUGUUGAAAAAUUAGCGGAUGACCUGUGGCUGGGGGUGAAAGGCCAAUCAAACCGGGAGAUAGCUGGUUCUCCCCGAAAGCUAUUUAGGUAGCGCCUCGUGAAUUCAUCUCCGGGGGUAGAGCACUGUUUCGGCUAGGGGGCCAUCCCGGCUUACCAACCCGAUGCAAACUGCGAAUACCGGAGAAUGUUAUCACGGGAGACACACGGCGGGUGCUAACGUCCGUCGUGAAGAGGGAAACAACCCAGACCGCCAGCUAAGGUCCCAAAGUCAUGGUUAAGUGGGAAACGAUGUGGGAAGGCCCAGACAGCCAGGAUGUUGGCUUAGAAGCAGCCAUCAUUUAAAGAAAGCGUAAUAGCUCACUGGUCGAGUCGGCCUGCGCGGAAGAUGUAACGGGGCUAAACCAUGCACCGAAGCUGCGGCAGCGACGCUGAUGCGUUGUUGGGUAGGGGAGCGUUCUGUAAGCCUGCGAAGGUGGCCUGUGAGGGUUGCUGGAGGUAUCAGAAGUGCGAAUGCUGACAUAAGUAACGAUAAAGCGGGUGAAAAGCCCGCUCGCCGGAAGACCAAGGGUUCCUGUCCAACGUUAAUCGGGGCAGGGUGAGUCGACCCCUAAGGCGAGGCCGAAAGGCGUAGUCGAUGGGAAACGGGUUAAUAUUCCCGUACUUGGUGUUACUGCGAAGGGGGGACGGAGAAGGCUAUGUUGGCCGGGCGACGGUUGUCCCGGUUUAAGCGUGUAGGUGUGUGUUCCAGGUAAAUCCGGUUCACUUUAACACUGAGGCGUGAUGACGAGGCACUACGGUGCUGAAGCAACAAAUGCCCUGCUUCCAGGAAAAGCCUCUAAGCAUCAGGUAACAUCAAAUCGUACCCCAAACCGACACAGGUGGUCAGGUAGAGAAUACCAAGGCGCUUGAGAGAACUCGGGUGAAGGAACUAGGCAAAAUGGUGCCGUAACUUCGGGAGAAGG